CCCGUUCGUUGAAAAUAAAGCUAAAAUACAGGCAUUUAUCUCUGCAUAAGUCCAGGCUUUUGUACAGUACCUGUACAACACAAAUACAGUGCCUCAAGUUUUCUUAUGAUGAUAUAUGAUCAUUCCUAAUUGGCAUAUUUGACUGACAUCAAAUUUCACUGUGGAACCCCUAGAACCAAAACCAUAUUAGGCCAAUCCUUGCAUAUCAAAUGCCCUGCUGAAUGCACCCAUUUUUUUUUCUGUUUCAAAUCCUCCUACUUGCACAGUCGCAUCCAUGUAAUAACACAUCGUUGCAGGCUUGCAUAAGCUUCAUAACCAGACUACACCUUUAGUAAGGCAGAAGCAAGCUAUCGUGAUCGUAAGCACAUGACAACUGAAUCAGCACAUUCAAAAGCGAAAAGUGGAUGAUUUGCACAUACCCAGGUCAUUUGAAGCAUCAGCAUUGUCCCCAUCCUCCUGCAUUUCUUGCCCAUCCUCAUCGACGUCUUGUUCCUCCUCUUGCUGAAGCUCCUCUCCCGCUGAUGCAUCCUCCUGCACUUGCUCUUUUCCAACCUCAGCCUCACCGGAGUCACCGCCGUCCGGCCUGCUCACCCACCUGGACGCCGGCACCACCACCAACCAAGCCCUCCACCACCUCCUCCCCAUCUGCGGCACCACCAGCAGCAUUGACAAGUGCGGUGGCACCCCUGCCCAAUUGUGGCGGUGAGACGAUGUUGGGAGGCCGCUUGUGGCGGUGAGACGAUGUUGG
rnacentral:lncRNA from 1 species